CAUAUGUAGUAGCUAACUAAUUUUAGAAAAUAUAUGUAACACAUUUUAUUUAUUAUUUAUUACUUUAAUGAAAAUUAACCACAAUUUCAGUUUUCAGUUGACAAUACUUUAUUUUGACGUUUCAAUUUUCACCUCAGAAAUCAUUCUAAAAAUGCAAAAAUUAUUAUUUCCGGGGGGGCUCGGGGUCCCGGGGGGGCACGGGGUCCCGGGGGGCUCGGGGUCCCGGAGGGCAUGGCCCCCUCCCCCCUCUCUGGAUCCGCCUUUGCAACAGACUUUCUUAAUUGGGUUUUUUGGAAGAAAUAAAACUACUGAGCAACCCUUCUCUUUUCGGGAGGACUUCCUGAAGCGUGGAACCUCCAACAUCGCAGGCGAUGCAUCUGAAAUCUGAACAUCGACUGAACACCACCAACUACAACUGCAGGGACCUGAGGCCACAACAUCUAAGCCCAGGUCUGCAAUCAACCAGCAGCAAACAUCUAGAAGCUACCGACAGAUAAAAAGUGCCAUAAGUAUAAUCUGAACUGUCACCACACUCUCGGCGAAGUUACUGCGGCAAAGUUGACCGAAGUCCAAGUACCCAUCACUACACACUCGUUCAACUUCACGAGGAACACAUUCAAGCGGUGCGAUACCGACUUCGAUCCCUUUGACUCGGAUGCGUAAAACCGACAGAGAACGGAAGUAGAACGAAGCGAAGCAAAGUUGCAAGAAGUGGCUGUCUUCACUCUCGUACUUGCUUAACUUCGAUCAACUUCGCCGGGAGUAUGGUGCUCACUUUAGCUUUCGGCAAGGUCUUGAUAUCUUUGAUUUGAUAAUACAUUAUUUUAUUGUGUCUUUAACGAAAAAUAAACCUGAUUAGUUAA